GACGAACCGUGCGAACGUUGUUCGGAAUCACUGGGCUUAAAGGGCGCGUAGGCGGCUCGCGAGGUCGGGGGUGAAAUCCCACGGCUUAACCGUGGAAGGGCCUUCGAUACCGGCGGGCUGGAGGAAGGUAGGGGUGCGCGGAACUUCUGGUGGAGCGGUGAAAUGCGUUGAUAUCAGAAGGAACGCCGGCGGCGAAAGCGGCGCACUGGACCUUUUCUGACGCUGAGGCGCGAAAGCCAGGGGAGCGAACGGG
rnacentral:rRNA from 1 species